rnacentral:lncRNA from 1 species
UUUUUUUUUUAACCAUUUUCCGCAUAUAUUUUGACUUUCAUUUGAGAGAAAGGGAGAAAAGUGAAGAGGAUUAAAUAUUUAAAUUUUCUGCGUAACAGAUAUCUAUUAAAUUAAUUGGUUAAUAAUUGUUUUUGUUUGUUUACACAGAUUAGCCAACAACUGUGAGAGAUUGGAACUGAUAUCCUUUCCUUACUGAAAAGAUAAGUCGUCUCCUAUGGUUAAUUUUUCAUCUUGGAGGCUCUUUUAGUUAAUUAAGGUACAUUAGAAGAACUCUGGAUACCAUUAAAUUAUGAAAUUUUGGAGCAUUGGUUACAUUAGUCUUCAUUUGCCUCGGAAAGUAGCUGUGCCUAUGGUUGUAAAGCAAGCAUGAAAGUGCCUUUUUUUUCAUUGGGAACGAAGAGAGUGUGCUAAAAAAAGGAUUUAUGACAAUGAACUGAUUGUUGUCCCACAAGUGAGAAGGAAUUGCAGUUAAUUUUGGUGCUACUAAAACAACCGAUACUUUUUACGUCUUCACCUUGCAACAUUAUGCAGUUAAUUUUUGCCGUAACAAUGGGAGGAAAUUGGAAAUUAAUUAAUUUGGAAGCAACCGAAAAAACAAAUUAUAUGCAGUGGUAUCGCUUCUAGAUUUGGUUGGUUUUGCUCAUCACACUAGUAGACGUUAGAACGCCUCUCACUACAAUUAAUUAUGGUUAUGCAAUAAAUGAGUGAGAAUUAAUGUGCAGUUUGGUUAUACUGAAACAGCCCAAGUCUGCAAGGGUGUGGUCUUUCCUGGAUUAUAUUCUUGAUUUGCUGUUUCGUCUUCGCCUUGUAACAUCAUGCAGUUAAUUUUCAACCCAUG